rnacentral:tRNA from 1 species
GGGGUUGUGGCUCAGCGGUACAGCACUCACCUAGCAAGUGUGAGGUCCUGGGUUCGAUCCCCGGCACCACA